GAGUUUGAUCCUGGCUCAGAGCGAACGCUGGCGGCAGGCUUAACACAUGCAAGUCGAGCGGGCAUAGCAAUAUGUCUGCUGCAUACGGGUGAAUAACGCGUGGGAACAUACCUUUUGCUUAGGAACAACUGAAGGAAACUUCAACUAAUACCGGAAAAACCCUUACGGGGAAAGAUUUAUCGGCGAAAGAUCGGCCCGCGUCUGAUUAUCUAGUUGGUGAGGUAAUGACUCACCAAGGCGACGAUCAGGAGCUGGUCUGAUAGGAUGAUCAGCAUCAUUGGGACUGAUACACAGACCAUACUCCUACGGGAGGCAGCAGUGGGGAAUAUUGGACAAUGGGCGCAAGCCUGAUCCAACCAUGCCACGUGAGUGAUGAACGGCCUACGGUUGGAAAGCUCUUUUGUGCGGGAAUAUAAUGACGGUACCGACAUUAAUAAGCCCCGGCUAAGUUCUUGCCAACAUCCGCGGUAAUACGAAGGGGGCUAGCGAUUGCUCGGAAUCUCUGGGCGUAAAGGGUGCGUAGGCGGGUCUUUAAGUCAGGGGUGAAAUCCUGGAUCUCAACUCCAGAACUGCCUUUGAUACUGAACAUCUUGAGUAUCGGGAGACGUGAGUGGAACUGCGAGUGAAGAGGUGAAAUNNNUAGAUAUUCGCAAGAACACCAGUGGUGAAGGCGGCUCACUGGCCCGAUAACGACGAUGAUGCACGAAAGCGUGGUGAGCAAACAGGAUUAGAUACCAUGGUAGUACACCCCGUAAUCGAUGAAUUCCAGCCGUUAGUGGGUUUACUCACUAGUGGCGCAGCUAACGCAUUAAGCAUUCCGCCUGGGGAGUGCGGUCGCAAGAUUGAAACUCAAUGGAAUGGACGGGGGCCCGCACAAGCGGUGGAGCAUGUGGUUUAAUUAGACGCAACGCGCAGAACGUUCCCAGCCCUGGACAUCCCGGUCGCGGAUCUCUCAGAGACGGAGUUGUUCACUUCGGCUGGACCGGAGACAGGUGCUGCAUGGCUGUCGUCAGCUCGUGUCGUGAGAUGUUGGGUUAAGUCCCGCAACGAGCGCAACCCCCGUCAUUAGUUGCUAUCCAUUUAGUUGAGCACUCUAAGGAGACUGCCGGUGAUAAGCCGCGAGGAAGGUGGGGAAGACGUCAAGUCUUCAUGGCCCUUACGGGAUGGGCUACACACUUGUUCCAAUGUGCGGCGCCAAUGGGAUGCUAAGGGGGGACCCUUCGCAAAUUUCAAAAAGCCGUCUCAGUUCGGAUUGGGCUCUGCAACUCGAGCCCAUGAGGUUGGAAUCGCUAGUAAUCGUGGAUCAGCACGCCACGGUGAAUACGUUCCCGGGCCUUGUACACACCGCCCGUCACACCAUGGGAGUUGGUUUUACCAGAAGACGGUGCGCUAACCGAAAGGGGGCAGCCGGCCACGGUAGGGUCAGCGACUGGGG
rnacentral:rRNA from 1 species